UACGAAGGGGGCUAGCGUUGCUCGGAAUCACUGGGCGUAAAGCGCACGUAGGCGGCUUUCUAAGUCAGGGUGAAAUCCUGGAGCUCAACUCCAGAACUGCCUUUGAUACUGGAGAGCUUGAGUCCGGAAGAGGUGAGUGGAACUCCGAGUGUAGAGGUGAAAUUCGUAGAUAUUCGGAAGAACACCCGUGGCUAAGGCGGCUCUCUAGUACGGUACUGACGCUGAGACGCGAAAGCGUGGGGAGCGAACGAGGA
rnacentral:rRNA from 1 species